rnacentral:rRNA from 1 species
AGAUUGAACGCUGGCGGUAUGCUUAACACAUGCAAGUCGAACGGUAACAGGAGAGAGCUUGCUCUCUUGCUGACGAGUGGCGGACGGGUGAGUAACGCGUAAGAAUCUGCCUAGUAGUGGGGGAUAACUACCGGAAACGGUAGCUAAUACCGCAUACGCCCUACGGGGGAAAGUGGGGGACCUUCGGGCCUCACGCUAUUAGAUGAGCUUGCGUAGGAUUAGCUAGUUGGUGAGGUAAUGGCUCACCAAGGCGACGAUCCUUAGCUGGUUUGAGAGAACGAUCAGCCACACUGGGACUGAGACACGGCCCAGACUCCUACGGGAGGCAGCAGUGGGGAAUAUUGGACAAUGGGCGCAAGCCUGAUCCAGCAAUACCGCGUGUGUGAAGAAGGCCUGAGGGUUGUAAAGCACUUUCAAUUGUGAAGAAAAGCCUGAGGUUAAUAGCCUCGAGUCUUGACGUUAACUUUAGAAGAAGCACCGGCUAACUCUGUGCCAGCAGCCGCGGUAAUACAGAGGGUGCGAGCGUUAAUCGGAAUUACUGGGCGUAAAGCGUGCGUAGGUGGUUUAGUAAGUCAGAUGUGAAAGCCCUGGGCUCAACCUGGGAACUGCAUUUGAAACUGCUGAACUAGAGUAUGGUAGAGGGAAGUGGAAUUCAGGGUGUAGCGGUGAAAUGCGUAGAUAUCCUGAGGAACACCAGUGGCGAAGGCGACUUCCUGGACCGAUACUGACACUGAGGCACGAAAGCGUGGGUAGCAAACAGGAUUAGAUACCCUGGUAGUCCACGCCGUAAACGAUGUCAACUAGUUGUUGGGAGCAUUUUGGCUUUUAGUAACGUAGCUAACGCGAUAAGUUGACCGCCUGGGGAGUACGGCCGCAAGGUUA